GGUUACUGCUAUCGGUGUUCGCCUAAGCCAUGCGAGUCAUAUGUUCGUAAGAACAUGGCGUACUGCUCAGUAACACGUGGAUAACCUGCCCUUGGGUCCGGCAUAACCCCGGGAAACUGGGGAUAAUUCCGGAUAACGCACAUAUGCUGGAAUGCUUUUUGCGUAAAAUGGAUUCGUCUGCCCAAGGAUGGGUCUGCGGCCUAUCAGGUAGUAGUGGGUGUAAUGUACCUACUAGCCUACGACGGGUACGGGUUGUGAGAGCAAGAGCCCGGAGAUGGAUUCUGAGACAUGAAUCCAGGCCCUACGGGGCGCAGCAGGCGCGAAAACUUUACAAUGCGGGAAACCGUGAUAAGGGGACACCGAGUGCCAGCAUCCUAUGCUGGCUGUCCGGGUGUGUAAAAUACACCUGUUAGCAAGGGCCGGGCAAGACCGGUGCCAGCCGCCGCGGUAACACCGGCGGCCCGAGUGGUGAUCGUGAUUAUUGGGUCUAAAGGGUCCGUAGCCGGUUUGGUCAGUCCUCCGGGAAAUCUGACAGCUCAACUGUUAGGCUAUCGGAGGAUACUGCCAGACUUGGAACCGGGAGAGGUAAGAGGUACUACAGGGGUAGGAGUGAAAUCUUGUAAUCCCUGUGGGACCACCUGUGGCGAAGGCGUCUUACCAGAACGGGUUCGACGGUGAGGGACGAAAGCUGGGGGCACGAACCGGAUUAGAUACCCGGGUAGUCCCAGCCGUAAACGAUGCUCGCUAGGUGUCAGGCAUGGCGCGACCGUGUCUGGUGCCGCAGGGAAGCCGUGAUGCGAGCCACCUGGGAAGUACGGCCGCAAGGCUGAAACUUAA
rnacentral:rRNA from 1 species